UGUUGUGUUACAUGUAGCAUCCUUCCUGUCAGCUCAUUUUUGGCCUUAUACCUGAUACCUUCUUUUUCCAGUCUUAUGUUUCGGAGCUAAUUAGGAUCUUACAACAGCUACAUCUUGUACUGUCUGGACUAAGCUGAUGAUGCGGAAAUGUAAUAAUUAGCAGAACUAUGCGCCAAGAUUGUCCAUGUUUGGCACUUCCCCUUCUCUGCACUGCCAACGUUCAACCUGCUCCUCAGCCCCAUCCCACUGAUAUUCACCCUGGCAAUGCUCAUCCUGGCUAGUCUGUAAGGGUACUGCCUUCUGUUCUUUCUGGUUUUGGUUAAGGAACCUCUGGAACCCCACGGACCGUGAACGUUUCUGGACACUUUAUCUGGCUGACAGUCCGAACUGAUCUAUGCAACGCUCUAGUCGUGAACCCUGUCCACCCUCCAACGGAGUUCCAUCUCCAAUCUCCUCUAAAGCUUCUGCGAGCACCAACCACCUGGUCAUCUCUCAGACCUGACACGCCUUCUCCCAGGCAGAUACCCGGCUCCUGAUCAAUAAGCAUUCCUCCAUCUAGUAACAUUCUAUCUGAGUGUCUCGUUACUUACCCUCGUUCUUCCUCAGCAGCCCAGCUCCUGAUUACGAGGGUCCUCGGACCUCGCUCCUGUAUUGAAUAAACUAACGAAACUGUUCUCUGUCUCUGAGUGUCCUCUGUAUGUGGGUCAAGUCGGCGGUUAAAAUUAUGACAGUUUCAUAAUUGCCAGGUCAGAUGAAACUAGUCAAACAGUACAGGAGCAUAAAGGAAGCAGCAUGCACAGGUUGUUUUGCUGAAGCUUAUUGCUUCAGAGCAUCAAAGUAUUCACACCCCUACAGCUUUUUUUUAACAACUUUUUAGCUGUAGGGGUGUGAAUACUUUGAUGUAUUCUGAGGGGGGGGGGACUUUACAUUGCAGACCUACACAAAGUGUAGUAUAACUGUAAAACUGGAAGUAACGGAUACACAGUUUAUCUUUUUUUUUUUUUUCAAAAACAAAAGUAAGGCAUGCAUUUGUAGCUUAGCUCAGCUCAGUUAAGGCAACACUUUUUACUUUUCCAAACCACAUUUCACUGAAAUUACAACUGCAAGUCUUUUAGGGUAAGCCUCUACAAGCAUUGCACAUCUACAGACUGAAAUUUUUGCCAAUUCUGACAAAUAGCUGUAGGUCAGUCAGACUAGAUAUAAAGAAUAACAUACAUUUCCAAUUCUUGCCAAAAUUGUUCAUUAGAUUAAGGACGUUGUCCUGCUGGAAGGUGGAGCUCUGCUACAGUAUCAAGUAUUUUGCAUUUUUUUAGAGGUUUGCCUGUAACCAGUUGUCUUCCAGAAUUGUCCUUAGGUCCAGCACCAUCCAUCUUCCCACCAACUCUGACUAGCUGUCCUGUGUCUGUUGAAAUAAAUAUCCCAAAAGCAUGAUGCUGCCACCACCAUGUUUCAUGGUGAGGAUGGUGUGUUCAGGGUAAUCCACCACGCAUUGCAUUUUGCACAUAGAUCAAAAAUAUAACAUUUAGUCUUCUCUGACUAGAGCACCUUCUUCCAUAUGUAAAUUACCUGUACUUGUAUAGCGCUUUAGGCUGCA